UACGUAGGGUCCGAGCGUUGUCCGGAAUUACUGGGCGUAAAGAGCUCGUAGGUGGUUUGUCGCGUUGUUCGUGAAAACUCACAGCUUAACUGUGGGCGUGCGGGCGAUACGGGCAGACUUGAGUACUGCAGGGGAGACUGGAAUUCCUGGUGUAGCGGUGGAAUGCGCAGAUAUCAGGAGGAACACCGGUGGCGAAGGCGGAUCUCUGGGCCAUUACUGACGCUGAGGAGCGAAAGCGUGGGGAGCGAACAGG
rnacentral:rRNA from 1 species